AACAGCCCUGCCGACCAUGGUGACCUGUGCGUUACCGUGCUCCGGACCCCACGCAGCGAAGCCGGUGUGAACCCGGCGCUGUCCCGCAACUGUGAUGCCCCCGGUUUUCCGGGGGACAAGCCAGGUCGCCUGCCAAGGUCGCGAACCAGCG
rnacentral:ncRNA from 2 species